rnacentral:lncRNA from 1 species
UGGCGUCAGGCUCCGCGAGCGCCGUUUCCUGUUGUCAGUGGCGGAGAGGCCGCAGCGUCGGGUCGGAGGCUUAGAGGCUGCAGCGGCCAGGAGUGCCCCCCGCCCGGUCCCCGCUCCCUCUGGUGUCAUGUGAUUCUCCGAGGGAGCUGCUGUGUGCGUGGAAAUGCUCUCAGUGGUGGAGAAUGGACUGGACCCCCGGGCUGCCAUCCCGG